AUUAAUACACCGAGUCUUACUGUCUAAGUGAGUGUUUAUCACCAUAUGACAAUAAGACCGAUGGGUAAAAGUGGAAACGCGAUUGCCUCCCGACAUUGGAAAGGUGUUCAAUGACAA
rnacentral:ncRNA from 1 species